rnacentral:rRNA from 1 species
UACAGAGACUGCAAGCGUUAUUCGGAUUCACUGGGCGUAAAGGGUGCGCAGGUGGCCAAGUGUGUUAGGCGUGAAAGCCCGGGGCUUAACCCCGGAAUUGCACCUAAAACUACAUGGCUAGAGCAUUGGAGAGGGGAGCAGAAUUCACGGUGUAGCGGUGAAAUGCGUAGAGAUCGGGAGGAACACCAGUGGCGAAGGCGGCUACCUGGACCAGCACUGACACUGAGGCACGAAAGCGUGGGGAGCAAACAGG